rnacentral:rRNA from 1 species
CACGUAGGCACCAAGCGUUGUCCGGAUUUAUUGGGCGUAAAGAGCUCGUAGGCGGUUCAGUAAGUCGGGUGUGAAAACUCUGGGCUCAACCCAGAGACGCCACCCGAUACUGCUGUGACUUGAGUACGGUAGGGGAGUGGGGAAUUCCUGGUGUAGCGGUGAAAUGCGUAGAUAUCGGGAGGAACACCAGUGGCGAAGGCGGACUUUCUGGCCUGUUCUUGACGCUGAGGCGCGAAAGCCAGGGGAGCAAAGCGGGG